rnacentral:rRNA from 1 species
AUUGAACGCUGGCGGCAGGCUUAACACAUGCAAGUCGAGCGGGGUGAUGGUGCUUGCACUAUCACUUAGCGGCGGACGGGUGAGUAAUGCUUAGGAAUCUGCCUAUUAGUGGGGGACAACAUCUCGAAAGGGAUGCUAAUACCGCAUACGUCCUACGGGAGAAAGCAGGGGAUCACUUGUGACCUUGCGCUAAUAGAUGAGCCUAAGUCGGAUAGCUAGUUGGUGGGGUAAAGGCCUACCAAGGCGACGAUCUGUAGCGGGUCUGAGAGGAUGAUUCGCCACACUGGGACUGAGACACGGCCCAGACUCCUACGGGAGGCAGCAAUGGGGAAUAUUGGACAAUGGGGGGAACCCUGAUCCAGCCAUGCCGCGUGUGUGAAGAAGGCCUUAUGGUUGUAAAGCACUUUAAGCGAGGAGGAGGCUCUUUUGGUUAAUACCCAAGAUGAGUGGACGUUACUCGCAGAAUAAGCACCGGCUAACUCUGUGCCAGCCGCCGCGGUAA